UGUUUGCUGACACAAGAGUCCAGGAAGUGCAGGAGGAAAGAGAAGGAGGACAGCAAUCAGUCACAGCUCCUUCCAGCAUUCACACAGUGACUACCACUAAUUACGCCUCUCAGACCUGUGUUUGAGCAGACCUAUUUUCUCUAUGAAUUAAUGCCAAGUGACCUACUUUUCUACAUAUUAUUCAUUAUUUGUUCUGCUGUUUUAUCGAUUUUGAGACUGUUGUGCUACACAGGAAUA
rnacentral:lncRNA from 1 species